rnacentral:lncRNA from 1 species
AGUGGACCAGGCUUCUGAUGGAACUAUUACAAGCAUGAAGAAGAGGUGGUGAGAUGGUCCUGCUGACCCCAGGGCAGAUGGCAUUGACAAAGCUGUAUGUGGAAGGGCUUAAGGCAUACCUGGGAAGAAUGAUACAUGAAAAUGAAGGCAGGAGAUCAGUUGACAGGUCUAUGGACCAAAGAAUAGCAAGGAUUAUCAACAAGUUCCCAGAAGCCAGAGAGAAUCAGAGAAACAUCUGACUCUGUCCCCAGAAGCAUUCAACACCACUAAACAUGAUCUAGGACUUACUACAUCAGAAAUGAAAGACAACUUUCUGUUGUUUAAGACAUUCAACCUGUGGUCCUUGUUAUAGCCGUCACAACAAUAAAUACAAGAUAUCUGAACCUUGAGGGAAGAGGAUUUGAUGAAGAAAUCCCAAUUAGGACUCAGUUCUCCAAAGUCUCUCACCCCCUGCUCACGUGGACAUCCUUUUAUGUUGGACCAAAUAGGAAAUAAACAGCCCAGUCUUCAAACACAGUCACCCAAUCUGCUAUGCAUUUAGAAGAAUAUAUCAACAACACGGGUCUUAUUGGCUGAGCUGAUGAAGUGGUCUUGUCAUUCCAUGUUGUUAAUGGACUACAUACAGAGAUAAGUGAUUCAAGAAAGAUCUGUUAGAAUGGGAAGCGACUCUCCCCUGUCCCCUGAUAAAAUGACAACAUUUAGCAGAGCAUUUCAAGAGGAUGUUAGGACAGACAAGGAAUCACUGUCAAGCAAAUUAAUG